CUGGGCUAUGGAGACAUGUAUCCCAAGACGUGGUCUGGGAUGCUGGUGGGAGCAUUGUGUGCUCUGGCAGGAGUGCUGACCAUUGCCAUGCCGGUGCCCGUCAUCGUGAACAAC
rfam:Mesocricetus auratus contig176585, whole genome shotgun sequence.